rnacentral:ncRNA from 1 species
UGUGACUUAAUUCUGGCCUAAAGUAUAUUCUAUAUUAUAAUAAAAAUUUAAGGUUAUAAAGAUCUAUUUUAGAUUAACAAAAGCUCAUAGUUGGAUCUUGGGAGCAGGCAGGAGGACUGCCACACAAGAGUCCCCACUUCUUGCCUCUCUCAGUCCCCUCCAUGCUCUUAGCCGAGUGUCCCAUGGGGCCCCAAGGCAUUUAUUCUGAAAAAAUUAACAGUGCUCAAAGCAAGCUUAAGCCACCAGGAUACCACAGCUAGGAAUAAUGGAAUAGGACUGAUGUUCUAUUUUGUUGGUUUUAGAACCGAAGCCAUGAUUAAGAGGGACAGCCGGGGCAUUCGUAUUGUGCCACUAGAGGUGAAAUACUUGGACAGGAACAAGAUGGGCCAAAGUGAAAGCAUUUACCAGUUUAAAAGUGGCCAGUCA